CCUACGGGAGACAGCAGUGGGGGAUAUUGCACAAUGGGGGGAACCCUGAUGCAGCGACGCCGCGUGGGUGAAGAAGCGCCUCGGCGCGUAAAGCCCUGUCAGCAGGGAAGAAAAUGACGGUACCUGACGACGAAGGCCCGGCUAACUACGUGCCAGCAGCCGCGGUAAUACGUAGGGGGCAAGCGUUAUCCGGAUUUACUGGGUGUAAAGGGGGCGCAGACGGGGAUGCAAGUCAGGAGUGAAAGCCCGGGGGCCAACCCCGGGACUGCUCUUGGAACUGCGUGGCUGGAGUGCAGGAGGGGCAGGCGGAAUUCCUGGUGUAGCGGUGAAAUGCGUAGAUAUCAGGAGGAACACCGGUGGCGAAGGCGGCCUGCUGGACUGCAACUGACGUUGAGGCCCGAAAGCGUGGGGAGCAAACAGGAUUAGAUACCCCGGUAGUC
rnacentral:rRNA from 1 species